rnacentral:misc_RNA from 1 species
GAUGAAGAACGCAGCGAAAUGCGAUACGUAAUGUGAAUUGCAGAAUUCAGUGAAUCAUCGAAUCUUUGAACGCAUAUUGCGCUCUCUGGUAUUCCGGAGAGCAUGCUUGUUUGAGUAUCAGUAAACACCUCAACUUCCAUAUCUUUUUUGAAAUGGGAGUUGGACUUGAGUGAUCCCAACGCUUUUCCUCACCGAAAAGUGGCGGGUUACUUGAAAUGCAGGUGCAGCUGGACUUUUCUCUGAGCUAUAAGCAUAUCUAUUUAGUCUGCCUAAAAAACAGAUUAUUACCUUUGCUGCAGCUAACAUAAAGGAGAUUAGUUCUUGUGCUGACUGAUGCAGGCUUCACAAAGACAGGCUUCGGCCGACUUUGUAAACUCGAUCUCAAAUCAAGUAAGACUACCCGCUGAACUUAAGCAUAUCAAUAAGCGGAGGA